GAUGAAGAAGCAGCGAAAUGCGAUAAGUAAUGUGAAUUGCAGAAUUCAGUGAAUCAUCGAAUCUUUGAACGCACAUUGCGCCCAUUAGUAUUCUAGUGGGCAUGCCUGUUCGAGCGUCAUUAAUUCCACUUAAGCCCUGCUUAGUGUUGGGAAUCUACUCUAGUGGUGCUACCCUGGAGCUACCCCUGAAAGGGGGCUGGCCCGGUAGCUACCCUGUAGUUCCUCAAAGAUAGUGCGCGGAGUUGCGUGGUCCUCUGAGCUUAGUAACUAUACACCUAGCUUUUGAGUGUCCCGCGGCGCCUGCCGUUUAAACCCCAUCUUUUAAUGGUUGACCUCGGAUCAGGUAGGAAUACCCGCUGAACUUAAGCAUAUCAAUAAGCGGAGGA
rnacentral:misc_RNA from 1 species